rnacentral:tRNA from 1 species
UGCCCCAUGGCUGAGUUGGUCACAGCGUCCAACUGAUGACCAAACCCAGGCUAAAAGCACUGUUAAUUUAACAUCGGAAGUUCGAGAGUUCAAGCCUCUCUGGGGAG